rnacentral:rRNA from 1 species
UGUAAACUGCAUACUGCUUUGAACAUCGACAUCUUGAACGCAUAUUGCGGCCAUGGGUUAGCCUGUGGCCACGCCUGUCCGAGGGUCGGCUUAUAAACUAUCACGACGCCCAAAAAGUCGUGGCUUGGGUUUUGCCAGCUGGCGUGAUUUCCUCUAUGACUUGUCAUGUGAGGUGCCAGAUCUAUGGCGUUUCCCCAAUGUAUCCGGACGCAUCCAUGUCUCGGCUGAAAGCCAUGGUGGGAUGUGGUGACGGAAUCGUGGUUUAAUAUGGCUAUGCCCCGUUUUCAGCAUGUUUGGCGCUUCUAGUCGGCAUGCAUAUGACUACGGGUGGAGCUGUGAUCGGGGUGGUGCCUCGUUUUCAGUGUGUUUGGCGCUUCUAGUCGGCAUACUUAUGAACUCGAGGGUAAUUCCAUACCAGGCACGUUUCGUUGCUUUCAUUCUGUCAUUGGUUGUAGGCUGGCUUGGGCCAUGCAUCCGAUGUUGCAUUGAACAUUACAGCUGCUUGUUUUGCAGCUUGUAUCCUGACCUCGGUUCAGACGUGAUUACCCGCUGAACUUAAGCAUAUCACUAAGCGGAGGAAAA